AACCAUUAACUUUCUCGCGGGUGAUGCGCUCGAUGUGGAUUACCCAUUUGCGACGGUAGACUUGAACAACUUUCCCUUCCCGGCCUUUGUAAGUCCCACGAACCACUUGGACCUCGUCGUCCUUGCGCACCGGCAUGGACCGGACGUUGUACUUGGACCUCAAAUCGGAUGAGAGUGGGGCGCUCAUCAACACACGGCGGACCGACGAGGGUGCCGUGAAAUGGGCCUUGCGGCUCUUGCGGCGAGAGGAGGAGACUCGUGGGUUGUACUUCAUUUUUUGCUGUG
rnacentral:lncRNA from 1 species